rnacentral:rRNA from 1 species
UAACGAGGGCUUAACUGUCUCCUUUUUCAAGUCAAUGAAAUUGAUCUCCCCGNGCAGAAGCGGGGAUAAAACCAUAAGACGAGAAGACCCUAUGGAGCUUUAGACACCAAGGCAGAUCAUGUUAAGCACCCCAAAUUAAAGGGCCAAACCAGAGGAGCCCUGCCCUAAUGUCUUUGGUUGGGGCGACCGUGGGGAAACAAAAAACCCCCAUGUGGAAUGGGAAAACCCUUUCCUAAAACUAAGAGCCCCCGCUCUAAUAAACAGAAUUUCUGACCAAUCAGAUCCGGCAACGCCGAUCAACGGACCGAGUUACCCUAGGGAUAACAGCGCAAUCCUCUUUUAGAGCCCAUAUCAACAAGAGGGUUUACGACCUCGAUGUUGGAUCAGGACAUCCUAAUGG